ensembl:lncRNA CD82-AS1 CD82 antisense RNA 1
GCACAAAGUCAGCUGAGGGUCCCCGACCAGGUGCACCCAGCCUGCGUGCCCCGAGAGAUGCUCUCCACCCGAUGUUACGGCCAGCGCCGCGGUCAGGCUGCACUCGGCUGGAUGAGAGGAAAUGGGCAGGCAGCUGCGGAGGGAUCCGUACUCACCAGCCCCAGCAGGCAGCGGACCUCGUUGACGGCGCCGAUGCAGCCCAGGAAGCCCAUGAGCAUAGUGACUGCCCCCACGCCGAUGAAGACAUAGGCCCCCAUCCUAAGCGAGCUGGAGGAGGUUUCUAGGGGGAAGAAGAAGUACAAAAUCAGUGGGCACAGCAGGACCUGAGGUGCAUGAGGGCAGAAGCUUCACUUUAUUCCUGGGGAACCCCCAGCUCGAACAGCGCCUCUCGCAGUGAGGUGCUGUGCACAGUGAAUAUCUGCGGAAUUGACAGACAAGAGGCUGGCUGGUUCUCCAGGGGCCACUGACAUUAAGAUUCCAAGCUGAUUUUUAACCCGCCUUCCUUCUUGUCCAUAUAAUAACAAACACCAGCCUUUCUUGCCC